rnacentral:rRNA from 1 species
UACAGAGGGUGCGAGCGUUAAUCGGAAUUACUGGGCGUAAAGCGCGCGUAGGCGGUUUUGUAAGUCGGGUGUGAAAUCCCCGGGCUCAACCUGGGAAUGGCAUUUGGGACUGCAAGGCUUGAGUGCGGCAGAGGAGACUGGAAUUCCUGGUGUAGCAGUGAAAUGCGUAGAUAUCAGGAGGAAUACCGAUGGCGAAGGCAGGUCUCUGGGCUGACACUGACGCUCAUGCACGAAAGCGUGGGGAGCAAACAGG